GUGGGGGGGGUGUUCGGACAAGCAAGAGGUGUUUGGCAAAUACAUUCUUCAGUUCGACAAGUACAAAGGCAAGUCCUUCCGGUGGUUAUUGGAGAAUGAUAUUGGCUACACUUUGUACCUGUCCAGUAAGGUUGAAGAGGAAGAACAGGCUGGGCAGUUCAACCCAGAGGGUCCUUGCAAGGAUAGCCUCCUGUCCUUUCUUGAGUAUUCAAAAAGCUAUAAGGAAAUUGAGGAUCUUCAGUGAUAUCUGUCAGCAAGGCCUAAUCCAGUACAAGUUUUGCCAGAGGAUGACAAUACAGUUGGAUUUGGAGCAUGAGCAAAAGACAGUUGGAGGAAGGUUUGGAAUACCAGAGCUGAUUGGUAUGCUGCCUUUAUAAUUGGUAAGAACUGUGUUCCUGGAAGUAAAAUGGACCAUGUGACUGCAGAAGCCCCUUCACCAUCAACUCUCUCUGCAAGGCCACUAGUUCCGUCAAGCUCUGCCUCUGAUCAAUCAGAAAUGGAAGAGGAUGACGAAUUGGAGAGGAUGAUGCUGAGUUUGUCUCCACAAAAAUGUCCUACACUGCCAAAUUUUUUUGAUGGAGGGAGCAGUUCCAGCGAGUAAUAUCUUGAAUGUAUUUGGGCACAGGGGCCUCUGCCUGUGUGGAAGGUACUGGUGCAGGUGCAAUAGGUACUGAUGGUGCAGCUGUGGGUACUGACUGGGUAGUUGCUGGUGGUACUGUGGGCACUAACUGGUAACUGCUGGUGGUACUGUGGAGAGUGGUACAGAGGCUUUACCCUGUGAAGAAGGCCUGUACACAGGAGCUGGUGGGACGGAAGGACGGAAGACUUCAUGUGCUACUGGUGGAUGCUGUGGCACAAUGGUAUGGAACAAAG